UGAGCUCAACGAGAACAGAA
rnacentral:snRNA from 1 species